rnacentral:rRNA from 1 species
CACGUAGGGUGCGAGCGUUGUCCGGAAUUAUUGGGCGUAAAGAGCUCGUAGGCGGUGUGUCGCGUCGGCCGUGAAAACCUGCAGCUUAACUGUGGGCUUGCGGUCGAUACGGGCAUCACUGGAGUUCGGCAGGGGAGACUGGAAUUCCUGGUGUAGCGGUGAAAUGCGCAGAUAUCAGGAGGAACACCGGUGGCGAAGGCGGGUCUCUGGGCCGAUACUGACACUGAGAAGCGAAAGCGUGGGGAGCGAACAGG